AACGUAUCCAGGUCCGUCCGAAAAUACUUGUCAUCAAAAUGGACAAAAAAGGGAUGUAUCUAGAACUAAAAUACAUCUAGAUACAUCCCUUCUAUUCAUUUUGAUCGAUGACAAGUAUUUCCGGACGGAGGGAGUAUAUA
rfam:Triticum aestivum genome assembly, contig: Triticum_aestivum_CS42_TGACv1_scaffold_031585_1BL